CUCCAUCCUGCAAGCCCAGAGCAGGCUGGGGACCCCACGUGAAGCUCCCUCUGCUGGUAACCCUGGGGGGUCUGCCUGGACCAUGUGUUGCCCUGGUUCCCUCAAGUGCAGUGAAGUCCUGGGCAUCCUUCAAAACCUCACUCAAAGGAACAUCACUUUUCCACAAAAUGUUAGAAUGCCUGGCAUGAGCUUCAAAAUACUUCCACAGGAGAGGGGUGAAUGGAGGGCCAGUAAAACCUCCCACACUGUCGGGCCCUUUUGCGAAGACUAAGUGAGACAGCAUCUGUAAAGCAGCUGGGCUACAGCAAGCCAGUGUCCAUCUCCCCUUAUCGAAGGUAUGUCUGUAAAUCGUUUAUUGGAAAAGUUGCAUAC